rnacentral:rRNA from 1 species
UACGUAGGGUGCGAGCGUUAAUCGGAAUUACUGGGCGUAAAGCGUGCGCAGGCGGUUUUGUAAGCCAGGUGUGAAAGCCCCGGGCUCAACCUGGGAAUUGCAUUCGAGACUGCUCUGCUAGGGUGCGGAAGAGGGGAGCGGAAUUUCCGGUGUAGCGGUGAAAUGCGUAGAUAUCGGAAGGAACACCAGUGGCGAAAGCGGCUCCCUGGUCCAGCACCGACGUUCAGGCACGAAAGCGUGGGGAGCAAACAGG